rnacentral:rRNA from 1 species
CAGGUGGUCAGGUAGAGAAUACCAAGGCGCUUGAGAGAACUCGGGUGAAGGAACUAGGCAAAAUGGUGCCGUAACUUCGGGAGAAGGCACGCUGACACGUAGGUGAAGUGGUUUACCCAUGGAGCUGAAGUCAGUCGAAGAUACCAGCUGGCUGCAACUGUUUAUUAAAAACACAGCACUGUGCAAACACGAAAGUGGACGUAUACGGUGUGACGCCUGCCCGGUGCCGGAAGGUUAAUUGAUGGGGUCAGCGCAAGCGAAGCUCCUGAUCGAAGCCCCGGUAAACGGCGGCCGUAACUAUAACGGUCCUAAGGUAGCGAAAUUCCUUGUCGGGUAAGUUCCGACCUGCACGAAUGGCGUAAUGAUGGCCAGGCUGUCUCCACCCGGGACUCAGUGAAAUUGAACUCGCUGUGAAGAUGCAGUGUACCCGCGGCAAGACGGAAAGACCCCGUGAACCUUUACUAUAGCUUGACACUGAACACUGGUCCUUGAUGUGCAGGAUAGGUGGGAGGCUUUGAAGUGUGGACGCCAGUCUGCAUGGAGCCAUCCUUGAAAUACCACCCUUUAAUGGCUGGUGUUCUAACGUGGGCCCGUGAACCGGGUUGCGGACAGUGUCUGGUGGGUAGUUUGACUGGGGCGGUCUCCUCCUAAAGAGUAACGGAGGAGCACGAAGGUUGGCUAAUCCUGGUCGGACAUCAGGAGGUUAGUGCAAUGGCAUAAGCCAGCUUGACUGCGAGCGUGACGGCGCGAGCAGGUGCGAAAGCAGGUCAUAGUGAUCCGGUGGUUCUGAAUGGAAGGGCCAUCGCUCAACGGAUAAAAGGUACUCCGGGGAUAACAGGCUGAUACCGCCCAAGAGUUCAUAUCGACGGCGGUGUUUGGCACCUCGAUGUCGGCUCAUCACAUCCUGGGGCUGAAGUAGGUCCCAAGGGUAUGGCUGUUCGCCAUUUAAAGUGGUACGCGAGCUGGGUUUAGAACGUCGUGAGACAGUUCGGUCCCUAUCUGCCGUGGGCGCUGGAAGAUUGAGGGGGGCUGCUCCUAGUACGAGAGGACCGGAGUGGACGCAUCACUGGUGUUCGGGUUGUCAUGCCAAUGGCACUGCCCGGUAGCUACAUGCGGAAGAGAUAAGUGCUGAAAGCAUCUAAGCACGAAACUUGCCCCGAGAUGAAUCUUCCCUGAGCCUUUAAGGCUCCUGAAGGAACGUUGAAGACGACGACGUUGAUAGGCCGGGUGUGUAAGCGCAGCGAUGCGUUGAGCUAACCGGUACUAAUGAACCGUGAGGCUUAACCUUACAAC